rnacentral:rRNA from 1 species
AAUCGCAGAUCAGAAUGCUGCGGUGAAUACGUUCCCGGGUCUUGUACACACCGCCCGUCACACCAUGGGAGUCGGAAAUGCCCGAAGUCAGUGGCCCAACCGCAAGGAGGGAGCUGCCGAAGGCAGGUCGGAUGACUGGGGUGAAGUCGUAACAAGGUAUC